rnacentral:rRNA from 1 species
AGUGAACGCUGGCGGUAGGCCUAACACAUGCAAGUCGAACGGCAGCACAGUAAGAGCUUGCUCUUACGGGUGGCGAGUGGCGGACGAGUGAGGAAUACAUCGGAAUCUACUUUUUCGUGGGGGAUAACGUAGGGAAACUUACGCUAGUACCGCAUACGACCUACGGGUGAAAGCAGGGGAUCUUCGGACCUUGCGCGAUUGAAUGAGCCGAUGUCGGAUUAGCUAGUUGGCGGGGUAAAGGCCCACCAAGGCGACGAUCCGUAGCUGGUCUGAGAGGAUGAUCAGCCACACUGGAACUGAGACACGGUCCAGACUCCUACGGGAGGCAGCAGUGGGGAAUAUUGGACAAUGGGCGCAAGCCUGAUCCAGCCAUACCGCGUGGGUGAAGAAGGCCUUCGGGUUGUAAAGCCCUUUUGUUGGGAAAGAAAAGCAGCAGGUUAAUACCCCGCUGUUCUGACGGUACCCAAAGAAUAAGCACCGGCUAACUUCGUG